rnacentral:rRNA from 1 species
UACAUGUGGGGCAAGCGUUGUUCGGAAUUACUGGGCGUAAAGGGUGCGUAGGUGGCUUGUUAAGUCAGGGGUGAAAGUUUUCGGCCCAACCGGAAAAUGGCCUUUGAUACUGGCGAGCUCGAGUGCGUGAGGGGUAACCGGAACGAGCAGUGUAGCGGUGAAAUGCGUAGAUAUUGCUCGGAAGGCCAACGGCGAAGGCAGGCUACUGGUGCGCAACUGACACUGAGGCACGAAAGCGUGGGGAGCAAACAGG